rnacentral:rRNA from 2 species
GUCUACGGCCAUACCACCCUGAACGCGCCCGAUCUCGUCUGAUCUCGGAAGCUAAGCAGGGUCGGGCCUGGUUAGUACUUGGAUGGGAGAAAUAUAGAAGAAAGAGCCAUUGAAC